GUUAUUUCCAGCCGGCAUUUUGAGAACAGGAGCCAUUCUGUGGCUCUUUCAGUUUUAAAAAAUCAUCCCCCCACCAUUAAAACUGCAGAAUAAUGGCAAAAAAAAUUGGACUUCUGGGGAACAUUACUGGAUUGCUAGAGGCCCAUGGAGUAAGAAGUUUGGAGCUAUUGAAGAGGUGUUGUCUUGUCUGUGGAUGAAGAAAGACUGAGAGAUAGGAGCCUUGCACAAGCACAUAGAGGGACAGGGGAGGGGCUCCUGCCUGAACUCAAAGAAACUUGGAACGUUCCGAAUUGGUCUCUGUGCACGCGCAAAGCCCAAGGGUGUAAGGCACAGAAGACCACACAGAAGAACAAUGAGAUGUUCUGGGACACCCAUUUCCCUAUGGGAUUAUCCUUGAAGCUAAUAAGCAUUUCCAGUUUUGGCUUUGCCAUGUUGCAGUUCAACCAGGGUGUCAAACCAUUACCUUUUUAAAAAAAUUCAAUUUCAAUUCAGACUCAGCUGCAACUGAAGUUGUCCUUGUUUGGUCAAGAUUUGUGUUCACACCUACUCAUUUGAACCGCUCCAACUUUAAUACUUCUCUCUUCUCUUCCCAUUUUUGUAACCUUUUAUUCCCUGUUUUCUUGCCCAGUUUUGUGUUUACAGAUUAAUCCAGAUUUCUGUUCCCCUACUGACAUGUAUAGACCAUUUAAUAGACACCAAAUAUGUCCAAUUAUAUCCAUCCCAUCUGUGUUGUAACUGUCUGUUGACCAAACCCCUGUCAUAAAAUGGAAGCAGCAAGCAGGCCUCCAGUGCAAUCCCUGCUUAAUGCUUCGCAGACCCAGCCCUUAAAGAGGACAGAGGACAGGAACUUGUACAAACCCAAAAUAUAUGAAUCCUUCCUAAUAUUGGUUUUAUUUAUGUGCUCAGUCUGAUUCUGGUGGAGCUGUUGUGUUGUUCAAUUGAACCUUUAUUCUGAACCAGUAACCUGUUUGUUUGUUUGUGUGCUUUUUGCAUUUUAAAAUUUUUAUUGGUUUUUACAUUCAAAUUAAUUUGUUUAUUUAAUAAAGUAAUCUGAUUUUUUUAAAAAA